rnacentral:lncRNA from 1 species
AAAAAAUUGAAAGUUUGGGAUUUUUAAGGGGAAAAUGAAAGUUCGGGACAUUUUGUGGAAAACGCUAGAAGUUUGAGACAUAAAACAUUAUUAUCCCUUAAAUAAAUAUAAUUCGGUUUUCAUUUUUGUUUGGUUUCUACAAAAUCAAACCGAAUUAAAAAAAAUCUAAUUUUUUUGAAAAAUCAAACUAAACCAAACCGAAAGACAAAAAAAAAAUGAACCAAAUAGAAAAAAAAAAGAACCAUAUUUCAAUAUUUCGGUUGAAUCAGUUCAGUUAUUCCGUUUCCAUUAUUUUGUUCACCCAUACCAGUAGGUUCUGUAAACCUAUUACUUUGGGAAAGCAAGGACCGACCCAAGCCUUUGAGUUUUGAGACCAUAUUUCUAGAGAUUGUUAUUUGGUAUGUUGAG